rnacentral:lncRNA from 1 species
GGUUCCCACUAUUGGAAGGUCCGUUAUAAGCAAAGCUCCAUCCCCCUUGAUGACUCUAAAAUCUUAAUCCUAUUUAAACUUUUACAAGACAAACUAAUAUAAAAAGAUUUUUUCUCCAUAAUUUUUGAAUAAUAAAAUAUAAAAUUACCAAAAUUACAUAUCAUAAUUUUAAUGACAUCAUAAAAUGUGCAGGCAGCCGU